rnacentral:pre_miRNA from 1 species
ACAACAUCGGACCGUCGCCGCGUCGGUCUACCGAGCAAUAUCACCCGCUCGGUGGAACAUCUUUCCUUUCGUCAU